GCCAGGCAUGGUGGCGGGUGCCUGUAAUCCCAGCUACUCGGAGGCUGAGGCAGAGAAUUGCUUGAACCCAGGAGGCGGAGGUUGCAGUGAGCCGAGAUUGUGCCACUGCACUCUAGCCUGGGUGACAGAGUGAGACUCUGUCUCAA
rnacentral:SRP_RNA from 1 species